rnacentral:rRNA from 1 species
AACGAACGCUGGCGGCGCGCCUAAUACAUGCAAGUCGAGCGAGAAGACGUAGCAAUACGUUUGUAAAGCGGCGAACGGGUGAGGAAUACAUGGGUAACCUACCCUCGAGUGGGGAAUAACUAGCCGAAAGGUUAGCUAAUACCGCGUACGCUCCUUGGACUUCGGUUCAGGGAGGAAAGCGAUACCGUGGGUAUCGCGCUCUUGGAUGGGCUCAUGUCCUAUCAGCUUGUUGGUGAGGAACGGCUCACCAAGGCUUCGACGGGUAGCUGGUCUGAGAGGACGAUCAGCCACACUGGCACUGCGACACGGGCCAGACUCCUACGGGAGCAGCAGUAAGGAAUAUUGCGCAAUGGGCGAAAGCCUGACGCAGCGACGCCGCGUGGGGGAUGAAGGUCUUCGG